GACGAACGCUGGCGGCGUGCCUAAUACAUGCAAGUAGAACGCUGAGGGAGGAGCUUGCUUCUCUGGAUGAGUUGCGAACGGGUGAGUAACGCGUAGGUAACCUGCCUGGUAGCGGGGGAUAACUAUUGGAAACGAUAGCUAAUACCGCAUAAGAGUAGAUGUUGCAUGACAUUUGCUUAAAAGGUGCAAUUGCAUCACUACCAGAUGGACCUGCGUUGUAUUAGCUAGUUGGUGGGGUAACGGCUCACCAAGGCGACGAUACAUAGCCGACCUGAGAGGGUGAUCGGCCACACUGGGACUGAGACACGGCCCAGACUCCUACGGGAGGCAGCAGUAGGGAAUCUUCGGCAAUGGACGGAAGUCUGACCGAGCAACGCCGCGUGAGUGAAGAAGGUUUUCGGAUCGUAAAGCUCUGUUGUAAGAGAAGAACGAGUGUGAGAGUGGAAAGUUCACACUGUGACGGUAUCUUACCAGAAAGGGACGGCUAACUACGUG
rnacentral:rRNA from 1 species